UUACAAAAUACCGUAGUUAACUCCUCAAAG
rnacentral:sRNA from 1 species